rnacentral:rRNA from 1 species
AGAGUUUGAUCAUGGCUCAGAAUCAACGCUGGCGGCGUGCCUAACACAUGCAAGUCGAACGAGAAAGGGUAGCAAUACCUGAGUAAAGUGGCGCACGGGUGAGUAACACGUGACUAACCUACCCUGGAGUGGGGGGAUAACUGAGGGAAACCUUAGCUAAUACCGCAUAAUACCUACGGGUCAAAGGAGCAAUUCGCUUCAGGAGGGGGUCGCGGCCGAUUAGUUAGUUGGCGGGGUAAUGGCCCACCAAGACAGUGAUCGGUAUCCGGCCUGAGAGGGCGCACGGACACACUGGAACUGAAACACGGUCCAGACUCCUACGGGAGGCAGCAGUGGGGAAUUUUGCGCAAUGGGGGAAACCCUGACGCAGCAACGCCGCGUGGAGGAUGAAGUCCUUCGGGACGUAAACUCCUUUCGAUCGGGACGAUUAUGACGGUACCGGAAGAAGAAGCCCCGGCUAACUUCGUGCCAGCAGCCGCGGUAAUACGAGGGGGGCGAGCGUUGUUCGGAAUUAUUGGGCGUAAAGGGUGCGUAGGCGGUUUUGUAAGUCUUAUGUGAAAUCUAUGGGCUCAACUCAUAGACUGCAUGAGAAACUGCAGGGCUUGAGUAUGGGAGAGGUGAGUGGAAUUCCUGGUGUAGCGGUGAAAUGCGUAGAUAUCAGGAGGAACACCUGUGGCGAAAGCGGCUCACUGGACCAUAACUGACGCUGAUGCACGAAAGCUAGGGGAGCAAACAGGAUUAGAUACCCUAGUAGUCC